UACGUAGGUGGCAAGCGUUAUCCGGAUUUAUUGGGUGUAAAGGGCGUGUAGGCGGGAGCGCAAGUCAGAUGUGAAAACUCAGGGCUCAACCCUGAGCCUGCAUUUGAAACUGUGUUUCUUGAGUGCUGGAGAGGCAAUCGGAAUUCCGUGUGUAGCGGUGAAAUGCGUAGAUAUACGGAGGAACACCAGUGGCGAAGGCGGAUUGCUGGACAGUAACUGACGCUGAGGCGCGAAAGCGUGGGGAGCGAACAGG
rnacentral:rRNA from 1 species